rnacentral:rRNA from 1 species
AGUGGCGGACGGGUGAGUAAUGCCUGGGAAACUGCCUGAUGGAGGGGGAUAACUACUGGAAACGGUAGCUAAUACCGCAUACCAUCGGAUGUGCCCAGAUGGGAUUAGCUAGUAGGUGGGGUAAAGGCUCACCUAGGCGACGAUCCCUAGCUGGUCUGAGAGGAUGACCAGCCACACUGGAACUGAGACACGGUCCAGACUCCUACGGGAGGCAGCAGUGGGGAAUAUUGCACAAUGGGCGCAAGCCUGAUGCAGCCAUGCCGCGUGUAUGAAGAAGGCCUUCGGGUUGUAAAGUACUUUCAGCGGGGAGGCGUUACCCGCAGAAGAAGCACCGGCUAACUCCGUGCCAGCAGCCGCGGUAAUACGGAGGGUGCAAGCGUUAAUCGGAAUUACUGGGCGUAAAGCGCACGCAGGCGGUUUGUUAAGUCAGAUGUGAAAUCCCCGGGCUCAACCUGGGAACUGCAUCUGAUACUGGCAAGCUUGAGUCUCGUAGAGGGGGGUAGAAUUCCAGGUGUAGCGGUGAAAUGCGUAGAGAUCUGGAGGAAUACC